GAAAGCAGAGGGCUUUAUUCCUGUGUGAUAUCAAAAGUGAGUGCUGUUUGUUCAUGUGGUUCUCUUCCUGAAAAGCCCCUGGGGUUUCCCUCUUGGCUCCGCCGCUGCCUGUGCUCACUGGAUCACCCUGAACGCUUCAGUGUGAGGGUGUGCAAUAACACAGGUGUGGCUACUCUUCAGAGGAAAGUGUCUCUAUAACUGGCUAGGAAAAGGGAAAAAAUGUCUGAGAAAAAAAGACCCUGAUUAGGAAGGAGAUACAGUGUGAAGGAAAAAUCCUGUGAUAGAAGAGGGCAAAGGAUCAGCCUCA